rnacentral:lncRNA from 1 species
UACACUUAAGAUGGUAAAUUCUAUAUUAUAUAUGUUUUACCACAAUUUUUAAAAAAAAGAAUACCAGGCAUUCAACAUCUCAACUUAUUUUCUCUACUCAAUUUAGUGAAAACCACCAGUUAGCUGGAAUGCAAUGAGCAUUUGGCACUUGUCUAGCUCUCCAGCAUCUCUAAAACAAACUCCUUAUAUUUGAGAAAUUCCACCAUGUGAGACUUGCCUUCUCAAAUUGAGAAGGUAGAAGAUACGCUAUGGUUUGAAUGUUUGU